UUGCUGAGGAGUCCCACAAUAGGACGAAACGGCCGUCCAG
rfam:Schistosoma mansoni, Puerto Rico, WGS project CABG01000000 data, contig: 0333